rnacentral:tRNA from 1 species
AUUUUAGUAGUUUAAUAAAAUUUCAUAUUGUGGUUAUGAAGAUGUCUUUGACCUAAAAUAA